rnacentral:lncRNA from 1 species
GAGAACAAGGAGGAACAAAUAGUGUGACAGGAAGAAUAUGUUAAUUCAAAACCAAGAGAAGAAAGUGUUUCAAGAAGAAUGGAGCAUUCAGCUGUGCCAAGACAUUGGAAAUUAAGAGAAGAAUACUUUGCAAUGGGAGAUUUUAAUGCCUGGACAUGGACUUAAACCCUGGACCCUCAGAUGAAAAGUCUGCUACUCUACCAACUGAGUUACCCCAACCCUUAUGCUCCGCAAAAUUCAGUGAUGGAAAUAACUGCAAUAUUUUUAAAAAUCAAAAUUAUCAAAAGUGGCCCGGACAUGGUGGCUCAUGCUUAUAAUCCUAGCACUUUGGGAGGCAGAGGGAGGAGAAACACUUGAGGCCAGGAGUUCAAGACCAUCCUGGGCAACAUAGUGAGACCUUAUCUCUACAAAACAAAACAAGACAAAGGAAAAACAAAUAGUUGGAUGUUGUGACUUGUGCCCAUCAUCCCUGCUACUUGGGAGGUUAAGGUGGGAGGACCUCUUGGGCCUGGGAAGUCGAGACUACAGUAGGCUGUGAUUGUGCCACUGCACUCCAGCCUGGGCACCAGAGUGAAAAUACCUAGGAAUCCAACUUAAAACGGAUGCGAAGGACCUCUU